rnacentral:rRNA from 1 species
GCAAGUCGAACGAUGAACCGCUUUCGGGCGGGGAUUAGUGGCGAACGGGUGAGUAACACGUGGGCAAUCUGCCCUGCACUCUGGGACAAGCCCUGGAAACGGGGUCUAAUACCGGAUAUGACUGUCCGUCGCAUGGUGGAUGGUGUAAAGCUCCGGCGGUGCAGGAUGAGCCCGCGGCCUAUCAGCUUGUUGGUGAGGUAGUGGCUCACCAAGGCGACGACGGGUAGCCGGCCUGAGAGGGCGACCGGCCACACUGGGACUGAGACACGGCCCAGACUCAUACGGGAGGCAGCAGUGGGGAAUAUUGCACAAUGGGCGAAAGCCUGAUGCAGCGACGCCGCGUGAGGGAUGACGGCCUUCGGGUUGUAAACCUCUUUCAGCAGGGAAGAAGCGAAAGUGACGGUACCUGCAGAAGAAGCGCCGGCUAACUACGUGCCAGCAGCCGCGGUAAUACGUAGGGCGCAAGCGUUGUCCGGAAUUAUUGGGCGUAAAGAGCUCGUAGGCGGCUUGUCACGUCGGUUGUGAAAGCCCGGGGCUUAACCCCGGGUCUGCAGUCGAUACGGGCAGGCUAGAGUUCGGUAGGGGAGAUCGGAAUUCCUGGUGUAGCGGUGAAAUGCGCAGAUAUCAGGAGGAACACCGGUGGCGAAGGCGGAUCUCUGGGCCGAUACUGACGCUGAGGAGCGAAAGCGUGGGGAGCGAACAGGAUUAGAUACCCUGGUAGUCCACGCCGUACACGGUGGGCACUAGGUGUGGGCAACAUUCCACGUUGUCCGUGCCGCAGCUAACGCAUUAAGUGC